UCGGAACUUGGAAGCGGAUCACAGCUGCUAGGUUAAUAAAUUGAUUCUCCCGCAGGAACAAUGGAUUUCGGUGUAGCGGAACUGUUACAUGGAGGUGCUAAGAUGCAAAGGUACAUUUCCAAACAUGCCGGACAAUAUUGGCUGGAAAAUGACUUGGUUAAAAUCUGAUGAUCUUACCAGCAUUCCGCAGGUUGAUGAAUACUAAUGAAGCUGUGGGUGUCACUGAGCAGCUUCAUUUUAAAUGAGGGGUUGCUGUCUGCCUGUUGAAAGAAGUCGAUGUGCUGUGACAUUUCGAAGGUGGGAGCAUUUCUGGCUAGUGCUGCGAGAUUUACUUGUCUUAUGAAAAUCUGGUGAUUGGGAAAACCUCCAGUGGAUGUGGGAAGAAAGUUCAAGAUGAAUUAUAUUUUUACAUUGGUUUGUAAAUAGAUUCUGAACCAGCAUCGAGUCUAGAUAAUGCAUCCGUAAGAGUCAAGGCAUUUCUGUUGACCAUGACACUGCUGUAGAAUCAUGACCUGUUAAUCAGUGUAUUACUUUCUAUUUUGAAUGGAAAACUUAUCUAGUUAUCUAGCCUUGUAAUUAAA